ACCUUGCUGGCUUAAUUAGUGGAGCGUGUGACUCUUGAUCUCAGGGUUGUGAGUUCAAGCCCCACGAUGGGUU
rnacentral:tRNA from 1 species